AGUGAACGCUGGCGGUAGGCCUAACACAUGCAAGUCGAACGGCAGCACAGUAAGAGCUUGCUCUUACGGGUGGCGAGUGGCGGACGAGUGAGGAAUACAUCGGAAGCUACUUUUUCGUGGGGGAUAACGUAGGGAAACUUACGCUAAUACCGCAUACGACCUACGGGUGAAAGCAGGGGAUCUUCGGACCUUGCGCGAUUGAAUGAGCCGAUGUCGGAUUAGCUAGUUGGCGGGGUAAAGGCCCACCAAGGCGACGAUCCGUAGCUGGUCUGAGAGGAUGAUCAGCCACACUGGAACUGAGACACGGUCCAGACUCCUACGGGAGGCAGCAGUGGGGAAUAUUGGACAAUGGGCGCAAGCCUGAUCCAGCCAUACCGCGUGGGUGAAGAAGGCCUUCGGGUUGUAAAGCCCUUUUGUUGGGAAAGAAAAGCAGCAGGUUAAUACCCCGCUGUUCUGACGGUACCCAAAGAAUAAGCACCGGCUAACUUCGUG
rnacentral:rRNA from 1 species